rnacentral:rRNA from 1 species
AGUGGCGAACGGCUGAGUAACACGUGACCAACCUGCCCCACGCACCGGGAUAGCCGGGGGAAACCCCGGGUAAUACCGGACGUCCCCGGGACGGCGCAUGCCGUCCCGGGGGAAGCCCAGGCGGCGUGGGAUGGGGUCGCGGCCCAUCAGGUAGACGGCGGGGUAACGGCCCACCGUGCCUACAACGGGUAGCCGGGUUGAGAGACCGACCGGCCAGAUUGGGACUGAGACACGGCCCAGACUCCUACGGGAGGCUGCAGUGGGGAAUCUUGCGCAAUGGGGGGAACCCUGACGCAGCGACGCCGCGUGCGGGACGGAGGCCUUCGGGUCGUAAACCGCUUUCAGCAGGGAAGAGUCAAGACUGUACCUGCAGAAGAAGCCCCGGCUAACUACGUGCCAGCAGCCGCGGUAAUACGUAGGGUGCAAGCGUUAAUCGGAAUUACUGGGCGUAAAGCGCACGCAGGCGGUCUGUCAAGUCGGAUGUGAAAUCCCCGGGCUCAACCUGGGAACUGCAUCUGAUACUGGCAAGCUUGAGUCUCGUAGAGGGGGGGUAGAAUUCCUAGUGUAGCGGUGAAAUGCGUAGAGAUCUGGAGGAAUACCGGUGGCGAAGGCGGCCCCCUGGACGAAGACUGACGCUCAGGUGCGAAAGCGUGGGGAGCAAACAGGAUUAGAUACCCUGGUAGUCCACGCCGUAAACGAUGUCGACUUGGAGGUUGUGCCCUUGAGGCGUGGCUUCCGGAGCUAACGCGUUAAGCAUCCCGCCUGGGGAGUACGGCCGCAAGGCUAAAACUCAAAUGAAUUGACGGGGGCCCGCACAAGCGGUGGAGCAUGUGGUUUAAUUCGAUGCAACGCGAAGAACCUUACCUGGUCUUGACAUCCACAGAACUUUCCAGAGAUGGAUUGGUGCCUUCGGGAACUGUGAGACAGGUGCUGCAUGGCUGUCGUCAGCUCGUGCCGGGAAAUGUUGGGUUAAGUCCCGCAACGAGCGCAACCCUUAUCCUUUGUUGCCAGCGGUCCGGCCGGGAACUCAAAGGAGACUGCCAGUGAUAAACUGGAGGAAGGUGGGGAUGACGUCAAAUCAUCAUGCCCCUUAUGAUUUGGGCUACACACGUGCUACAAUGGCGUAAACAAAGGGAAGCGAGAGUGUGAGCUUAAGCAAAUCCCAAAAAUAACGUCCCAGUUCGGACUGCAGUCUGCAACUCGACUGCACGAAGCUGGAAAAGCUAGUAAUCGCGGAUCAGAAUGCCGCGGUGA